AAUGAGCGUUGGCGGCAUGGAUUAGGCAUGCAAGUCGAGCGAGAAGUGUAGCAAUACACGGAAAGCGGCGGAAGGGAGAGUAAUACGUGGGAAUCUGCCCUUAGACCUGGGAUAGCAGCGGGAAACUGCUGGUAAUACCAGAUAAUAUCUAUGGACCAAAGGUGUGAUUCCGUCUAGGGAUGAGCCCACGUCCUAUUAGCUAGUUGGUAGGGUAAUGGCCUACCAAGGCGAUGAUGGGUAGCGGGUGUGAGAGCAUGACCCGCCUCACUGGGACUGAGACACUGCCCAGACACCUACGGGUGGCUGCAGUCGAGAAUCUUCGGCAAUGGGCGCAAGCCUGACCGAGCGAUGCCGCGUGCGGGAUGAAGGCCUUCGGGUUGUAAACCGCUGUCGAGGGGGAGCAACUUCCAUAGAGUUAUCUUUAUGGAUUGAGUGAUCCCUGGAGGAAGGACGGGCUAAGUUCGUGCCAGCCGCCGCCGUAACAC
rnacentral:rRNA from 1 species